GAUGAACGCUGGCGGCGUGCCUAACACAUGCAAGUCGAACGGAGUUAUUUUGGAAAUCUCUUCGGAGAUGGAAUCUUUAACUUAGUGGCGGACGGGUGAGUAACGCGUGAGCAAUCUGCCUUUAAGAGGGGGAUAACAGUCGGAAACGGCUGCUAAUACCGCAUAAAGCAUUAAAUUCGCAUGUUUUUGAUGCCAAAGGAGCAAUCCGCUUUUAGAUGAGCUCGCGUCUGAUUAGCUAGUUGGCGGGGUAACGGCCCACCAAGGCGACGACCAGUAGCCGGACUGAGAGGUUGAACGGCCACAUUGGGACUGAGACACGGCCCAGACUCCUACGGGAGGCAGCAGUGGGGAAUAUUGCGCAAUGGGGGAAACCCUGACGCAGCAACGCCGCGUGAUUGAAGAAGGCCUUCGGGUUGUAAAGAUCUUUAAUCAGGGACGAAACAAAUGACGGUAC
rnacentral:rRNA from 1 species